AAGAAACUGAGAUUGAUAUACAUUAAAAAAAAAAAAACAUUUUCUUUUACUUUUUUUAAUCAUAUCCAACAGGCUGGUUCACCAACUCACAAGUUCAAAGUCCAAACAUCAGUGAAUGAUCUUCAACUUCAAAACUCCUAAAUUUCCCACUUCUCAACCCUGCUUAUCUCUGCUUUUGACUUAAUCGAUUAAUGGCUUUCGAUUUAAUCUUUUGGCUUCUCAUUUGUUUCCCUCUCAACAUUGCUUUUCUGGCUUCAGCUUUCUACCAGGUUUUGAUGUUAUCUGACUUAGAAGCUGAUUAUAUAAAUCCAUAUGAUGCUUCAUCAAAGAUCAAUUACUUCGUGGUUCCUGAGUUUAUUGGACAAGGAUUAUUGUGUGCUCUUUUUCUCUUCACGGGUCACUGGGUCAUGUUUCUUUUGAUGCUUCCUCUUGCUUCCUAUCAUGUGAUGCUGUAUGUUAAGCGGCAGCAUCUCCUUGAUGUUACUGAAGUGUUUAGGGUACUCAAUGCUGAGAAGAAAUUUCGGAUAGUCAAACUUACUUUUUACCUAACAUUGGUUAUGAUAACUAUCUUCAGAAAGAGUCCUCAUGUAAAGUGGACCCAGUCUUUGGGCCAGCUAGCAUACUGGUGUUGGUGUUCUAUCACAAAGCUUUCCAGACUAUGAAAUAUUGGAACAACAUGGAAAGCGCAUGUACACUAGUUUACUUUCACAAAUUUGAUUAGUAUUCUCCCCUUUUAUCUUAUGGUGCGUUAUACCAAACAAAAAAUCACCCAGGCUUGUAUUAAUCGUCGUCAACUAUUUCGAUAUGGAUGAUGAUUGACCUCGGAGAUCCUUUGAAUAUGUGCAGUAUGACAACCUGUUGUAAAGAGCUAAUCUUUCAUUUCUAGCACGAUCAUAUAAGCUUACCAGUUUCAAGUUAAAUGAUGUGAGCUCUGCAUGUUGUUUUGGUUACAAGGAGAGUUCUAGAAUUUGUGUGAUGAUUUUUAAGGGUUGCAUAAUAGGGAUUCAUCUUCAUGAUCAUGCAGUUCCUGAAGAAACUUGCUGCCACUUGAGCUAUUACAAUUUACAAUGUAUAUUUGGAUUUUACAUACUUUUGGUCCAUGAUGUUAAUUUGAGCUCAAGGGAUUUUGAACAAGUUGUAUUAAUGAACAGAAACACACGUCCUGUAAUAGAAAUGGAAACAGUAAUUUUUCAGGCAACAUGUGGCUAAUGCUGCCUGUGUUUGGAAUGAGAUAAAUUUGCAGCAGCGGAUUCCAAACACAGGUGGGAGUUGCUACCUGCACCCCCUUUUAGUACAUAGUUUUACCGAGUAAUUUUUCAGAUCAAUAUUUAGUUA